UUUCCUUGUGUUUCUACUGAUUGGAUUUCGUUUUCUCUUCGGCUGUCGUGGUUUUGGUUUACGUCCUGUUGACAACCCUGAGAUUGACGGCAUGUGUCGCAGAAAAAAAAUAAAGAAGAAAAUCAGAAUUUUAUCUUGAUUCACCAUUGUUUAAAGUGCUUACUUAUUAUU
rnacentral:ribozyme from 15 species